rnacentral:rRNA from 1 species
CCCGUACACAAAAAUGCACAUGCUGUGAGCUCGAUGAGUAGGGCGGGACACGUGGUAUCCUGUCUGAAUAUGGGGGGACCAUCCUCCAAGGCUAAAUACUCCUGACUGACCGAUAGUGAACCAGUACCGUGAGGGAAAGGCGAAAAGAACCCCGGCGAGGGGAGUGAAAAAGAACCUGAAACCGUGUACGUACAAGCAGUGGGAGCCUCUUUUAUGGGGUGACUGCGUACCUUUUGUAUAAUGGGUCAGCGACUUAUAUUCUGUAGCAAGGUUAACCGAAUAGGGGAGCCGAAGGGAAACCGAGUCUUAACUGGGCGUUAAGUUGCAGGGUAUAGACCCGAAACCCGGUGAUCUAGCCAUGGGCAGGUUGAAGGUUGGGUAACACUAACUGGAGGACCGAACCGACUAAUGUUGAAAAAUUAGCGGAUGACUUGUGGCUGGGGGUGAAAGGCCAAUCAAACCGGGAGAUAGCUGGUUCUCCCCGAAAGCUAUUUAGGUAGCGCCUCGUGAAUUCAUCUCCGGGGGUAGAGCACUGUUUCGGCAAGGGGGUCAUCCCGACUUACCAACCCGAUGCAAACUGCGAAUACCGGAGAAUGUUAUCACGGGAGACACACGGCGGGUGCUAACGUCCGUCGUGAAGAGGGAAACAACCCAGACCGCCAGCUAAGGUCCCAAAGUCAUGGUUAAGUGGGAAACGAUGUGGGAAGGCCCAGACAGCCAGGAUGUUGGCUUAGAAGCAGCCAUCAUUUAAAGAAAGCGUAAUAGCUCACUGGUCGAGUCGGCCUGCGCGGAAGAUGUAACGGGGCUAAACCAUGCACCGAAGCUGCGGCAGCGACGCUUAUGCGUUGUUGGGUAGGGGAGCGUUCUGUAAGCCUGU